rnacentral:misc_RNA from 1 species
GCAACGGCACCACAAACACCACCUAUCACUGAGCCCACAACAACUCCAGUUGAAGAUUUUUUAUUACCAUUCCCAUGAGUUUGUCCACCUCCAUCGGGUGAACUAGGAGUGCUCCCGGAAGGUGCAAAAGGAGGUGGAUUAUCUUUCCCAAUAUUGACAUUGCCAUCAUAUUUAACCAAUACAUUGCUCUUAAAUGGUGGGAUUUUCCCAUAAAUUAGAUUGUUAGAAAUAUCAAAUUCCUUUAGGUUUGGCAGCGAAACGAGCUCAUUCGGAAUAGUUCCAGUAAGAAAAUUAUUUGCUAGGAUCAACUUCUGUAACGACGUAAUGGACGAGUAGUUGGGAGAGAUUGUCCCUGUAAGUCCCAUUUUCUGAAAAUUCAGCACUGUAAUAUUCCCACCA